rnacentral:rRNA from 1 species
AGAGUUUGAUCAUGGCUCAGAACGAACGCUGGCGGCGUGGAUAAGACAUGCAAGUCGAGCGCUGAUUUCGAGGUAGCAAUAUUUCGGAGUCGGAGCGGCGCAAGGGUGCGUAACACGUGGGUAAUCUGCCAUGAAGUUUGGGAUAACUUGCUGAAAGGCGAGCUAAUACCGGAUGUGAAAGCCGGGAGACAUCUCCUGGUUUUUAAAGUUGGGGACCGUAAGGCCUGACGCUUCAUGAUGAACCCGCGGCCUAUCAGCUAGUUGGUGAGGUAACGGCUCACCAAGGCUAAGACGGGUAGCUGGUCUGAGAGGACGACCAGCCACACUGGAACUGAGACACGGUCCAGACACCUACGGGUGGCAGCAGUCGAGAAUUUUUCACAAUGGGCGAAAGCCUGAUGGAGCGACGCCGCGUGGGGGAUGAAUGGCUUCGGCCCGUAAACCCCUGUCAUUUGCGAGCAAUUCGCAUUAUUUAAAAGAUGAUGCGUUGAUAGUAGCGAAAGAGGAAGGGACGGCUAACUCUGUGCCAGCAGCCGCGGUAAUACAGAGGUCCCAAGCGUUGUUCGGAUUCACUGGGCGUAAAGGGUGCGUAGGUGGCCAGGUAAGUCGGAUGUGAAAUCUCGGAGCUCAACUCCGAAACUGCAUUGGAAACUGCCUGGCUCGAGGGUUGGAGGGGGGACUGGAAUUCUCGGUGUAGCAGUGAAAUGCGUAGAUAUCGAGAGGAACACCAGUGGCGAAGGCGAGUCCCUGGACAACCCCUGACACUGAGGCACGAAAGCUAGGGGAGCAAACAGGAUUAGAUACCCUAGUAGUCC